rnacentral:rRNA from 1 species
UGGGGAAUAUUGCACAAUGGGCGCAAGCCUGAUGCAGCGACGCCGCGUGGGGGAUGAAGGCCUUCGGGUUGUAAACUCCUUUCGCCAUUGACGAAGCCCUUCGGGGUGACGGUAGGUGGAGAAGAAGCACCGGCUAACUACGUGCCAGCAGCCGCGGUAAUACGUAGGGUGCGAGCGUUGUCCGGAAUUAUUGGGCGUAAAGAGCUUGUAGGCGGUUUGUCGCGUCUGCUGUGAAAGCCCGGGGCUUAACUCCGGGUUUGCAGUGGGUACGGGCAGGCUAGAGUAUGGUAGGGGAGACUGGAAUUCCUGGUGUAGCGGUGAAAUGCGCAGAUAUCAGGAAGAACACCGAUGGCGAAGGCAGGUCUCUGGGCCAUUACUGACGCUGAGAAGCGAAAGCAUGGGGAGCGAACAGG